CAUCCGGCUGGUCGACGGUUCGGCGCUGCCGUGGCUGCUGACCGUCGCGACCAACGUGGUACGCGACGAGCGGCGUUCCGCGCGGCGCUGGCUGGCC
rnacentral:tRNA from 1 species